rnacentral:misc_RNA from 1 species
GGCCAUGGGUUGUCCACAGAUUGUAUUGUACACUUGCCUGAACCUGAUUAGUUGCCUCAGCUUCCAAUUCAAAUAAACACAAAUUCACAAGUGUUAAAACCCAUAUUCUUGAAUAGAGAAUAAAAGCAUCAACCACCAAGCCAUAUUUUGGUUGUCCCCAACCGCAUCAACCAUUACCUCCAUUUGUUAAUUAAAAGAAUCAAGAACAAAACAUAGCAAAUCCAAGACAAAUAAUAAAAUUAAUAAAAA